rnacentral:rRNA from 1 species
CGGCAAGACGGAAAGACCCCGUGAACCUUUACUAUAGCUUGACACUGAACAUUGAGCCUUGAUGUGUAGGAUAGGUGGGAGGCUUUGAAGCGUGGACGCCAGUCUGCGUGGAGCCGACCUUGAAAUACCACCCUUUAAUGUUUGAUGUUCUAACGUGGACCCGUAAUCCGGGUUGCGGACAGUGUCUGGUGGGUAGUUUGACUGGGGCGGUCUCCUCCUAAAGAGUAACGGAGGAGCACGAAGGUUGGCUAAUCCUGGUCGGACAUCAGGAGGUUAGUGCAAUGGCAUAAGCCAGCUUGACUGCGAGCGUGACGGCGCGAGCAGGUGCGAAAGCAGGUCAUAGUGAUCCGGUGGUUCUGAAUGGAAGGGCCAUCGCUCAACGGAUAAAAGGUACUCCGGGGAUAACAGGCUGAUACCGCCCAAGAGUUCAUAUCGACGGCGGUGUUUGGCACCUCGAUGUCGGCUCAUCACAUCCUGGGGCUGAAGUAGGUCCCAAGGGUAUGGCUGUUCGCCAUUUAAAGUGGUACGCGAGCUGGGUUUAGAACGUCGUGAGACAGUUCGGUCCCUAUCUGCCGUGGGCGCUGGAGAACUGAGGGGGGCUGCUCCUAGUACGAGAGGACCGGAGUGGACGCAUCACUGGUGUUCGGGUUGUCAUGCCAAUGGCACUGCCCGGUAGCUAAAUGCGGAAGAGAUAAGUGCUGAAAGCAUCUAAGCACGAAACUUGCCCCGA